rnacentral:rRNA from 1 species
AAAGUCUAACCUGCCCAAUGAAUUUUAUUUUAAAUGGCUGCGGUAUACUGACCGUACGAAGGUAGCAUAAUAAUUAGUUUUUUAAUUGAAAGCUGGUAUGAAUGGUUGAACGAAAAAAAAGCUGUCUCAAUUUAAUUUAAAUUAGAAUUUUAUUUUUAAGUUAAAAAGCUUAAAUAAUUUUAAAAGACGAGAAGACCCUAUAGAGUUUUAUAUUAAAUUUUAUUUUAAAUUUUUAGUAAUUUUUUAUUUAUUAUAAUAUUUAAUAUUUGGUUGGGGUGAUUAAAAAAUUUAAUAAACUUUUUUUAUAUUAAAUCAUUAAUGAAUGUGUAUAUGAUCCA